GACGAACGCUGGCGGCGUGCCUAAUACAUGCAAGUCGAGCGAAGUUUUUCUGGUGCUUGCACCGGAAAAACUUAGCGGCGAACGGGUUAGUCACACGUAAAGAACCUGCCUCAUAGACUGGGACAACUAUUGGAAACGAUAGCUAAUACCGGAUAAUAUCAUUAACUGCAUGGUUGAUGUUUAAUAGUUGGUUUUGCUAACACAAUGACAUGUCUUUGCGGUUCAUUAGCUAGUUGGUGGGGUAAAGGCCUACCAAGUCGACGAUGGAUAGCCGACCUGAAGGGGUGAUCGGACACACUGGGACUGAGAAACGGCCGAGACUCUUACGGGAGGACGCAGUAGGGAAUCUUCCGGAAGGGGCGAAAGCGUGACGGAGCAACGCCGCGUGAGUGAAGAAGGAUUUAGGUUCGUAAAGCUCUGUUGUUAGGGAAGAAGGAUUGUGUAGUAACUAUACACAGUAGAGACGGUACCUAACCAGAAAGCCACGGCUAACUACGUG
rnacentral:rRNA from 1 species